AGGCGGGUGGCGCGCGGCAGCGGGGCUGGGCUCCGGCCCGGAGUCAGCGGAGGGAGCGCGCGCGCGCGCUCCCCGACAGUCCGCCGCAGCCACUCGCCCGGAGCCUUUUACUUGGCCGCGUUGCCCACAGCUACCUCGACCUCGCGUGCCGGGUUUGCGAGCUUUCAGGCUUCUGGAGUCCACUUUGUCUCUAGAGUGGCUAGAAACCCCCGAAUCACAUUUCUAGAGUCAGCCCUAACCAGCCACUGCCAGGAAGGAUACCCAGGUCGUAUUGGAGGACGGAACGACCAGGAACUUGGCAUGGUAUGCCAGCCCGCUGUGAGUGUAUGCUUUCUGAGCAUGGAUAGCCCCAGUGACCCCUCUCACCUGCUGUAUCUCCUUUGGUGGGGUGGGCAGAAGCCCUCGUCUGGCCAUCUGUGGCAGUGUCUCUGCCGAGGCUGAUGCUCCACAGACCCCUGGAAUCUCCACAUUCACUGACGUCUUAGGUGUGUGUGGCCUGUACAGCUUGCCUUCGUCUGGCCCCAGCUGUUCUCUUUCUCCUCUCAUGGGAUACUCCCCACCCUCAAGAGCCAGCCUUGCUAGCUGUGUUUUCCUCAGGUCUUAGCUGAGCAUAAUCAUCCCCCAACACACUGAGUGGGACAGACAAGAGGCCCUCUUGUUACACCAGAGGAAGCUGACCACAUCAAAUCACAGACAAGGACCACUUUCCCAUGGGUGAUACUACCCACAGUGGGAUGGACCCUCCAAUUCUCAGUCAAGAAAGUGCCCGGCAGCACAGUAUCCAACAGACAGCAAAGCCAGGGCUGCCUCCAGACCUGCUGUCCCUUUCACCAUCCUUCCUAGGACCAGAGGGGAUGCCGCCUGCUCAGGAUGGACUCUAUUGAAAUGUAAAAUACACACUUUGCAUAUCAAAAGCAUCAUUGUGUUUAGCUAUGCAUCUCCAGUUUCUUCUUGCAAAACAUUGAAACCUAGCUCAUAAUUUGAUGAUAAAAUAUUGAUUAUUUAUUGACAGCCACAUGCAGAGGUCCAUGGCACAUGAACGGGAGGCCCACCCUGCAUUAUCUGUAUUUUAAGUCAAUAUGAAGAUGGAUAUUCUACCCCUGAGAUGAAUUUUGUUAAAGUGCUUUUGUCAAUAAAAAGACACUCCUGUUAGAGUGUGCCAACUCCUGCUAUUGGCCUGGGGUCUGCUUCUCCACACACCAGGCGGCUCCAAGAGAGGCUUCCAACCUCCAGCAGCUCCUGGUCAGUCUGCAUAUUUCUUUAAGCCAUGUGAGUGAAAAAUAUCAAGGAAUGGUGAGUUGGCAUUCCAGGUGAGAGAGAAUGAAAAGAAAAGCGAACACAACUUAUAAACAAAUCUGGGAGAGCUUCAUCACCAUCCAUAGCAACUGCGUGUCUUCUGCUUCCAAGAUAGAAGAGCGGAAGUGUGGACCAUCUCUGAGCGUCUGCCCUGACUGCCUACCCAGCAGAGUCUCUAGGAAGAGUAUACCAAGAAAGGACAGCAGCCUGGACGCAGCUGGCAGGGAGCAACAAGCCCGGGAGUUUUCAGGUGACCUCUGUGAAAGGGUCUUUCAACCAAAGCAGUUGCAACCGACAGGUCAAGAAACACUUCUCUAGAAAGAAGCAGACUGAUGCCAUCAGUACACCCCAGCUUUAUUUAACAAAGCCCUGUUUAGUUUGUAGCAUCCUAUGAACAUUUCCCAAGAUGUGGAUUUAUGAACUGUCCCGGGGGAACUGCGUCCUUGGAGAAAGUAUGCAAAUAUUGGCGACUGGGUUUGUGCGGCUGUGAAGAGGUCAGGUAACAGGCUUCUUAAGAGUUCCCAGAGGAGAUGAUGUUGCCGAUUUUAGCAGAAAGCAUACUCUUUCCCUGAAUUAGAACAAAUGAGGUGUCAGUGUUUUUCACCAAGCUGGUGGCAUCUCAGGGUGUCAGGGAACUGAGAAGUGCUAGACACAAGGGUACUGGGGCUUGCAUGCCUUGGGCAGAGUCACUGUUCUGCCUGCCAUUCAGGAGCUGUGCAAACUCGAGCAGGGUGCUCGUUCCUUCUAAGCAGCCUUCUCCCCAAGAGAGGAUGAACCAGACCAGGUGGGGAGUGGACAGUGUCUGGGAAAUGGAAGAGCCCACCCAGUGGCUGAGACAAAGGUUGCUCUUGGCUUCUUCUGCCCUCACAGCCAUCUACCUAACCCAUAGGGCUUUGCUGGUGAUCAGGAAACCUCCAGGAGGUGCUGUCCUUUCUUCCCUGCCCUCUUGUGGCGUCUGAGCUGGGUGGCAUGGGAAUGUAAUUCCUUCUCCUCUACACCAGCGUCUUCCCACAUCCUCCUGAAGACACUGUCAGUCUCAGCACCUCCGGCCAACAAGCAACAUGGAAACAGACAGAGGCCCCACUGUUUGCUGACGUUCACUGACUGU
ensembl:lncRNA